rnacentral:tRNA from 1 species
GUCUUAAUAGUUAAAAAUUAUAACGUUGUCUUUUCGUGACAAAAGUGGCCAUCGGCCUUUAGAUU